GAUGAACGCUAGCGGCAGGCUUAAUACAUGCAAGUCGUGGGGCAGCAUGAGUAGCAAUACUUGAUGGCGACCGGCAAACGGGUGAGGAACACGUACACAACCUUCCUUCAAGCGGGGAAUAGCCCAGAGAAAUUUGGAUUAAUACCCCAUAAUAUAUUUGAUAAGGCAUCUUAUUAAUACUAAAGCUUCGGCACUUGAUGAUGGGUGUGCGGCUGAUUAGAUAGUUGGCGGGUAACGGCCCACCAAGUCUACGAUCAGUAGCUGAUGUGAGAGCACGAUCAGCCACACGGGCACUGAGACACGGGCCCGACUUCCUACGGGAGGCGGCAGUAAGGAAUAUUGGACAAUGGACGAAAGUCUGAUCCGGCCAUGCCGCGUGAAGGAUUAAGGUCCUCUGGAUUGUAAACUUCUUUUAUAUGGGACGAAAAAAGGGCAUUCUUGUUCACUUGACGGUACCAUAUGAAUAAGCACCGGCUAACUCCGUGCCAGCAGCCGCGGUAA
rnacentral:rRNA from 1 species